rnacentral:rRNA from 1 species
UACGGAGGGGGUCAGUGUUGUUCGGAAUUACUGGGCGUAAAGGGCGCGCAGGCGGCUUGGCAAGUCGAGUGUGAAAGCCCUUGGCUUAACUAAGGAAUGACGCUCGAAACUACCUCGCUAGAGGACGGGAGAGGGAAGUGGAACUCUCGGUGUAGGGGUGAAAUCUGUAGAUAUCGAGAGGAACACCGGUGGCGAAGGCGGCUUCCUGGCCCGUUCCUGACGCUGAGGCGCGAAAGCGUGGGGAGCAAACAGGAUUAGAUACCCUGGUAGUCCACGCCCUAAACGAUGGGCACUAGGUGUGGGCGGCACUAAUUCCGCCCGUGCCGUAGCUAACGCAUUAAGUGCCCCGCCUGGGGAGUACGGUCGCAAGGCUGAA